rnacentral:rRNA from 1 species
CCCUUAGAUGUUCUGGGCCGCACGCGCGCUACACUGACACACUCAACAAGCUUAUAACCUUGUCCGAGAGGUCUGGGAAAUCUUUGAAUAUGUGUCGUGAUGGGGAUAGAUCGUUGCAAUUCUCGAUCUUCAACGAGGAAUUCCUAGUAAACGCAGUUCAUCAGACUGCAUCGAUUACGUCCCUGCCCUUUGUACACACCGCCCGUCGCUCCUACCGAUUGAAUGCUCAGGUGAGCCAUUCGGACUUUCAUCAUGCUGGUUUCCAGUUUUGAUGAAGGAAAGUCUUGCGAACCUUAUCAUUUAGAGGAAGGAGAAGUCGUAACA